CCUUCGCGACGCCGACGCCCGCAUGAAGCCCGACGGGCCGUGAGGCCGCGGGCUCAAGACGGGCACGGCGGUCGUUCGCGUCGAGGGACAAAAUGCGUUGCUCGGGCGAACGGAGUCUCGUAACGAGACCCCACGCCCGCGCACAACGUUCCGCAUCCGAGAGAACGGGCAUAGCACACCGUGGGCCGAGGCAGCCAAGCGACUGGGCGAGGCUUGCCGGGGACACGGGGCGUGCCUGACGUCCACCCCGCAACCCGCGAGGGCUGCGGGCGGAGAGGGACGAACGGGACCGUCGGAUUCCUUUCGAUAGGUAAGCAACACAGGAAUACCGAA
rnacentral:misc_RNA from 1 species